rnacentral:rRNA from 1 species
AGAGAGAGACAUGCGCGCAUAUCAAUAAGCGGAGGAAAAGAAACUAACAAGGAUUCCCUUAGUAACGGCGAGUGAAGCGGGAAGAGCUCAAAUUUGAAAUCUUCAAGGUUUUACCUUGACGAAUUGUAGUUUAAAGAAGUGUUUUCUGUUAGAGGAGUUAGGUAAAAGUUCUUUGGAAUAGGACAUCAUAGAGGGUGAGAAUCCCGUAUUUGACUAUUCUUUCUAGCUUUGUGAUACACUUUCAAAGAGUCGGAUUGUUUGGGAAUGCAGUCCAAAAUGGGUGGUAAAUUUCAUCUAAAGCUAAAUACUGGCGAGAGACCGAUAGCGAACAAGUACCGUGAGGGAAAGAUGAAAAGAACUUUGAAAAGAGAGUUAAGCAGUACGUGAAAUUGUCAAAAGGGAAGCGUUUGACACCAGUGUUGUUUUCUCGAAAAUCAAUUAAAAAUGGAUUGGGAUUUUGUGUUGUAUUGACUUUAUCAGCUUUCUGCACUCUUUUCUUGUCUUUUUUAAUGCACUUUACGUUUAACAAGUCAACAUCAAUUUCUUUUGCUGUAAAAGGGUCAUUGGAAGGUGGCUUUCUUUUCGGAGAAAGUGUUUAUAGCCUUUGACUUCUGCAAUCGGAGAGAUUGAGGUCUGCAGCGUAGAUCCUUCGGGGCUAGAUACAUUUGUGCUAAGUUAUAGCUUUUCAUAGACAACUUGUUGAUUAUGAUUAAGUCAUUGUAGCUUACUCGCUUAUGCUAUUUUACCUACGCUUAGGAUGUUGACAGCAGUAUAGACUGU